AUGCCUCAUGCAAAGCUCCAGCUCCUCUUGCUGGGGGUGCUGCAUCCCCCUGAGCACCAGACCAGGCUCUGGCAGCAGAGCAGCCCCAGAAGGUGGCAACUGUGCCACGACCUGCAGCGCUCAGCUGAUGCUCUCCAUCAACCCAGACCGUGUCCCCGAAACGCCUCGCCUGCACCUGAAUUAACAGCUCCUGACAGCUCCAGCACAUGCCAGGCCCAGGCUGUGAUGUUUUGGCACUUCACAUCACAAACCAACACAGUGUUAUCCAUCAAGUACUCUCCCGCAGCGAGCGCACGCACGGCGCUGAGCAUGACACCCACCCCUGGCUCCUGUGCAGGGCAGGGCCCACAGCAGGACCCUCAGCCCAGGGAAGGCUUUCCCACGGACACCCACCUGCCCAAGACCCACUGUGGGGUCUCUGGCAGCGCAUCCCCCUCCCCACAUCACUGGCUGUUGGCACAGACACCUCCACCUGCAGGAUCAGGAGGACCCACAUGGGCUCAUCUCAUUAGAAUCACGUCUGGGAAAGAUGGGAAUUUGCCACUUGUCCAUGAAAUAGAGAACUGGCAUGGUGAGAAUAAUCACAAUUAUUCCAUCUGGAUAAAAAAACCCAAAAACCAUUACUUUGUUUCAAUGAGCACAAAGAACAAUAAGAACACUCUAAUUGCAGGCUCUGGACCUUGCUGGCUGCUCCCAGCUCCAGCCAUGGUGCCCAGCACACAGGGAUUGCCACCCAGCCCUGCCAGAGGAGCUGGGGCAGCAAGGAGGGGCACAGAGGUGCUGAGCCCCGGCUUAAUUUCUCCAUCCAGUUGCAUUACAGCUGCAAAGUUCAGACGCUUCACAAGAAAUUAUCACCCACAGCCGUCAGCACCCGGCCUGUCGGAGCAAGUUAAUGAUUUGUCACCAGGGCUCUGCCCGCGCGUCACCGCGAUUACAGCAGCUCUGCCAGCUGCCAAAGGUCUCUCCCCACACACAGAGGAAUGCUUUCCAUCCAGCUCCCUACCCCAAAAAGCCACACAGGACCCCCAUGCACCCACCCCACGGGGUCUGUGCCUCAACAGCAGGGCAGCACCCCAGAGGGCACUGCCACCGUCACCCCUGCCAGGUGAGCUCAGCCAGGCGUGGGAUAUUGGGAAAACACCGAGCAUUCCGUCUCCACCCCUGCAGAAGCUCCGGGUCUGGGAAGGAGGCCCGAGGAGGGCUGGGAACAGGCGGCGCAGAUGUCGCGGGCUGCCCGACAAGCCCCGGCAGCCGCGGCUCGAAGCUCCUGCCCCGUUCCCAAAGAGAUUCCCGAGCCCAAGGCGUGCCAGGAUGCCUCCAGGCCCGCCGGCAGCCGCCGCACAACCCAUCGGGGAUGGCGGAUUUAGAAGGGUAUUUCAAACCUCUGCUUAA
rnacentral:lncRNA from 1 species